UGGCCAUCCUCUUCCUCCACCUUUUCUCUCCUGGCCUACAGCUGCCCACACCCAAACCCAAGCACAUACACUCUUUCAUCUCUCAUCACAGGCUUAAGUAUAAC